rnacentral:lncRNA from 1 species
GAGAGCUGUAAGAAUGGGUCAUGUACACACUGAUAAAAGUUUAGCAGAUCCUUUGACGAAAGGAAUAGCUAAAAAUGAAGUCCAUAAUACAUCAAAGAAGAUGAGACUAAUGCCUAUGAAUUGCUCAUAAUGGUAACCCAACCUAAAAGACUGGAGAUCCCAAGAAUUAGGUUCCAAUGGGUAAACAACAAGUUGUGAGUGGUAAGAAAUGAUCAUGCAAGUUAAGAAGCAUGAAUCCUGAAGCAGAAGUGAAAGGAUGAGAUAAUAGAAACUCUUAAUGAGAUCUAUACUCUGAUAUGAGUGGAGUACCAAGCUUCAGGAGUACUCCAGAUAGACUCACCUAUAUGAAUGUGGAACUGAGGCCGGUUCCUAUGGAGUUUUGGGGCGAACUCCUAGAGCGUUCAUGAAACCGGGAUACACGUGCAGGACCAUUAAAGCACGGGCUUUUAAGAUACACCUUAAGAGAGGUUGUGUGCGGGUUUGAGAAAAAUCUGAGAUAGAGUUCAAGACAAGUGUCGCUCUUGUUAAAUCGGGCUCUUACUUGCUAUGUGAAGGUUCAAGACAAGCGUCACCUUUGCUUAUGCACAAUCUUAUAGAAGCGUUCUACGCUAUUUAAGAAUUUUCNNNNNNNNNNNNNNNNNNNNNNNNNNNNNNNNNNNNNNNNNNNNNNNNNNUUAUGUGUGAAUUGAAAAUAAAAUAUUUGAGUCCCACAUCGGGUAUUAGAACAUAUUAAUAUGUAUUAUAUACUAGUGUGUAUUUUGAGAAUAAAAAAAUAAUGAAAAUAGACUAUGUUGUAGAAACUUACUUGAGUUACUAAAUAAUAGGAAUGGUAGUAGAAAAAGUAAAAGCAUGUGUUCCUAUUUUUAAUGACCACCUCACUAGUUUUAUUGAGUCAUGAGCAUAAUCCACUUAUUUAUAUAAAAUUAAAUCCUAGCCACCAGCAUAUCAUAGAUGAUGAUAUAUAGCACUUGUUGUUACUCGGAGAGAGCAAGUUACAUAUCUCACAGUAAAAUAUCUAUCUCGUGGGUGGCUCUCUCAUCAAAUAUAUGACAAUACUCCAAUUGUUGUUCAAAGAAUUAUAGCUUAUCAAUUGUACAAGCACCCAUAGCACUAUGUUGGUGCUUGAUGGUUUUGCUCANNNNNNNNNNNNNNNNNNNNNNNNNNNNNNNNNNNNNAUUAUUUGAUGUUCUUGGUUUGUAAGUGAUUAUGAAUCAAUGGUUUACAUAUUCAUUUGAAAUAUUUAGUUGAUUGAAAUGAGCCAUAUUAAAGUUAGAAUGAAUGAAUUAUUCAUAUCAAUUGGUUUCAUUAUUCGGUUAUGCAAAUUAAUUAGAAAGAUUUGUAUUAGGAUGUGUUACUAAUAACUUAGAGAAUAAUUAGAGAAUAAUAUUGAAGUUUAUUCUAUUUGUUCUGAUAUACUAAUAUUAGUAUUAUUAUUGUGUUUUAAGAGUGAUUCUAGUAUCACAGUGAGUUCCUUCAAAUUUAAGAAUGGUCAUAGCGCCAUAUUCCCUAUAAUUUGAAUGGUCUUAGUUACCAUAUAAGAAUGGUCACGAUACCAUAUUAGAACGGUCAUAGUACCGUAUGAGAAUGGACUUAAAAUCAUAGCGCAAUGGUUUUAGUACCAUAUUUGAGGGUGUAAUUCUUGCCCAAUAUCUACAGUGCAGUAUUUAUCGGUAUCAGUAGAGAACUGGGCUGUUUUAUCCCGGAGACUUCGUAGUUGAUCGUCUGCCUUGCACAAUUUUGGACAGUGCCGCGAAACGUCUUAAAGAAAGCGUAUUCACCCGCGACUCAAUCCAGUAAUCUCUUCGGUGGCUGAAAAUUAUAUUUAACGAUUUUGAACCUCGGAAACAACAGCAUUUUUUAGACGGCAGAGACUAAAACCAAAAGGAAUUGGACAUGCAGGGACUGUUUUAAAAAAACACAAUGUACUAAUGUGAUAU